rnacentral:rRNA from 1 species
UACGUAGGGGGCAAGCGUUGUCCGGAAUCAUUGGGCGUAAAGCGCGUGUAGGCGGUUCGGUAAGUCUGCUGUGAAAAUCCAGGGCUCAACCCUGGGAUGCCGGUGGAUACUGUCGAACUAGAGUACGGAAGAGGCGAGUGGAAUUCCCGGUGUAGCGGUGAAAUGCGCAGAUAUCGGGAGGAACACCAAUUGCGAAGGCAGCUCGCUGGGACGUCACUGACGCUGAGACGCGAAAGCGUGGGGAGCAAACAGG